UACGGGGGGGGCAAGCGUUGUUCGGAAUUACUGGGCGUAAAGGGCUCGUAGGUGGCCAACUAAGUCAGACGUGAAAUCCCUCGGCUUAACCGGGGAACUGCAUCUGAUACUGGAUGGCUUGAGUUUGGGAGAGGGAUGCGGAAUUCCAGGUGUAGCGGUGAAAUGCGUAGAUAUCGGGAGGAACACCUGUGGCGAAGGCGGCCACCUGGUUGGAUACUGACGCUGAGACGCGAAAGCGUGGGGAGCAGACAGG
rnacentral:rRNA from 1 species